UACGGAGGGGGCGAGCGUUAUUCGGAAUUAUUGGGCGCAAAGGGCGCGUAGGUGGCCUUGUAAGUCAAAGGUGAAAUCCCUCGGCUCAACUGAGGAACUGCCUUUGAAACUGCAAGGCUUGAGGCCGGGAGGGGGUAGCGGAAUUCCCAAUGUAGCGGUGAAAUGCGAAGAUAUUGGGAGGAACACCAGUGGCGAAGGCGGCUACCUGGACCGGUUCUGACGCUGAGGCGCGAAAGCGUGGGUAGCAAACAGG
rnacentral:rRNA from 1 species